CCCAAACACCUCCCCUCCCCCUCCAUUUGGAGCAGCCCCCCUCAAUGCGGAAAUGUCCCCGCCGCGCAGACAGACAGGAACAACCGCCAGUCAGGAGCCGAGGCGGAUGCAGGGCCUAGCCAAUGAGACGCGCGGAGGUGGCAGGAGGCGGGGCGUCUGAGGCUGAGGGGACACCCCCCUCCCCCCCCCUCCCCGGGAGGUGGGCGCAAACAGGACCCUGGGAUCCGCUUGUAAAAGCAGCACCUGCUGCGGCGGGGCAAGGGGUGUUUCACCAGUAAAACUCCCCGGCUUCUACGGAUACUUUAGCAAGGGCGAGAACCUGAAGCACGAGUGGUUAUUUUUGCAGUCCAUAAAAACGUUCCGGUUUACGAGGGAUUGAAGGUAGCUAAACAGCGGAUAGAGCCAGAACGCUCCACGGCUACUACCUGAGAGAGCCUUUCUCAGUAGAUACAAACUCUCCUCCCUACAUCUGGUCUGGGGAGGGUGAAGGUGCGUUCAGGAGUAAGCAGUGGGAAGUGUGGAGUCCACCAACAGAAGGAGGGAUUUAGGGUGUGGGAAAAAAAAGUGCCAGGUGAAGGCUCUGCCACCAGAACCAGCGCGGCCAGUACCUAUUCCUGUAGAGAGUUAUGCUGUGAUAGACAUUUACUUUAAUGACCAAAGUGGCAAUGGCUUGUUACCCCUCGAGAUGCUUACCUUUACUAUUCUUGAAGUCCACAAGGAAAGAGGAUGUUGCAAGAACCUUGGCGGUGGCGUGUGAACUGCGAGAGGGCCAGCCCAGCGCCCGCUAAAUCACACCUGAUAUUGCCAACACCUGUAAAACUCAGUGGGUGUAUCUCAGACUUCACUUUGUGACUCAGUCAAACUAUGUCAGGACAGAUGAAUUGUUAGCACUCUCUUAGAGGCCUGCAGUAAACCAAGUAAUUCUAGAAGAGUUUGAGGCUUUGGACAACCCUAAUCAACCAAGGACAUGAGGACGGCAGCAGUGUUGGCACCAGGACCCUCAACACUUCUGAUGCCCUGAAAGUUGGACCUCUUGCACAUGUCAGCAGCUGCAACAAUGGCGGUGGUACCUUUGGUGGGCAGUGAUGACACGGCUUGGAGGACUGGCAGCAGCUAGCUGCUUGUAUCAGCAGGGAGAGCACAGCCCUCUGAACUUCUGAGAAUUCUCUGAAGAAUUGAAGGGCACAUAGUCAUUGGCAGUGGAGUUUGUGUUAGCUGACUCACCUCUGUGCCUAGACAGACAACACCAAAAUACACACCGAACAACAGUAAGCACCAUCUGCGUAAAAUAUCAGAGAAAGAAAUCUUAAAUCAGCCCCCAAAUCCAGGUCCUCAUUCCCACUUUCGUGUCAAUGAAGAGAACAGAAAUAAGAUAAGCCAGAGAAAUAAGGUAGUGCCAAAAUCAUUCACACUUCCAUUUACUGAGUUUGAAUUUGCAACUCUGUUGGUGUUUCUGAACAUUCAGUCCUGAUUUGUCUAUGUUCUUGUUUCUUACUUUUUAUUGAACUGCUUCCCCUCUAUUUUCUCUUUUUCAGAACUCUGUAACCUCUGCCCCGUUGGAAGUUGAACCCUUCCCAAUAUAAGCAGUGUUUUUCCUGCCUUUUCUUAUCUUUAGGUUUCAUAGGCUAAACCUGAAAAAUCUAUUUGUUAUUGAUCUCAGAAAGGUCAUUUUUCCCUUUUCUCUCUCCAGAAACGUUAACUAAUAUGUAGCUGGUACAUUUCAACUAUGGUUCUCACACAGUUGGUAGAUUUAAACCAAGUUUUCAGAAUUCCAUCUCCCCUUUCUUUCCUAUACUUCCCACUCUUAAGGGUGAAGAAAUUCCAGCACAAAUUAUUUAGUACAACUAGGCUGUGUCAGUAAAUGGAAUCAAGUCUCAAAGGUUUUGUGCUUUGAUAUAUUUUCAAUACAUAGAAAUGGUGGCAAUAAAAUGAAAUUAUUUUCUGCAUCCA